AACGAACGCUGGCGGCGCGCCUAAUACAUGCAAGUCGAGCGAGAAGACGUAGCAAUACGUUUGUAAAGCGGCGAACGGGUGAGGAAUACAUGGGUAACCUACCCUCGAGUGGGGAAUAACUAGCCGAAAGGUUAGCUAAUACCGCGUACGCUCCUUGGACUUCGGUUCAUGGAGGAAAGCGAUACCGUGGGUAUCGCGCUCUUGGAUGGGCUCAUGUCCUAUCAGCUGUUGGUGAGGUAACGGCUCACCAAGGCUUCAACGGGUAGCUGGUCUGAGAGGACGAUCAGCCACACUGGCACUGCGACACGGGCCAGACUCCUACGGGAGGCAGCAGUAAGGAAUAUUGCGCAAUGGGCGAAAGCCUGACGCAGCGACGCCGCGGUGGGGGAGU
rnacentral:rRNA from 1 species